rnacentral:snRNA from 1 species
AGAUCGUGUUCUCUUCAUACGCACAAGCCUUCGCCUUUUACUAAAGACUAUUCCGUGGAGAGGAAACACUUACGAGUUCAACGUAUUUUGGCGGCUUUGCCCUUCUGCCAGGA